rnacentral:rRNA from 1 species
AUACGGAGGAUGCGAGCGUUAUCCGGAUUUAUUGGGUUUAAAGGGAGCGUAGGUGGGAUAUUAAGUCAGCUGUGAAAGUUUGGGGCUCAACCUUAAAAUUGCAGUUGAUACUGGUUUCCUUGAGUACGGUACAGGUGGGCGGAAUUCGUGGUGUAGCGGUGAAAUGCUUAGAUAUCACGAAGAACUCCGAUCGCGAAGGCAGCUCACCGGGCCAGAACUGACACUGAUGCUCGAAAGUGCGGGUAUCAAACAGGAUUAGAUACCCUGGUAGUCCGCACAGUAAACGAUGAAUACUCGCUGUUUGCGAUACACGGUAAGCGGCCAAGCGAAAGCGUUAAGUAUUCCACCUGGGGAGUACGCCGGCAACGGUGAAACUCAAAGGAAUUGGCGGGG